CCCCCGCCACACAAGAGACCCAGGGCUCAGCAUGCGAACACGUGGGCUGGCCUGCUCCAUGCUCUCAGGUCCCCUAUCCCCCACGCCGGGUCCCUCCUAAAGUUGGAAAGAAGCCUUUUGUGUUAGGUGGCCUGCUACAGGGUCUGAGGGCCUCCCUGGGUGCAGUGUGUGAGAACAGGAGUGGUCUCCCCUCUCCACUUCUCUGCUGAGCCUCUGAGCUGGGGCUGGAAGGGCUGCAGGAGAUGUGGCCCCCACGGUCUGGCAGGGGCUGGACCCAGCUCUCUGUUCAUGGAGGAGAAAUGUGCCACGUUAUUGCCCCUGGGGAUUUUGAGAGGGAGCAGCACAAGGCCGAACUUCAGACACCGGCUUAGUCGUCAUGGCUACUCCACAGAAGGGUGUCUGAGAGAGGCCCAUGGGAUCCUGGGGUAGGGACCUCAGACCUGUGAGUGCUGGGCUGAGUGACCAGUCAGCCCCCUCCACCUGCCAAGUCCAUACACACCCCAUCUGGCACGUGAGGGCCCGGGGGCUGGGGUGGCAGUGCACCCCUGCAAGCACAGAGGGUCUGAAGCAGCUGCCCUGAGAGCUGGCCCCCUCAUGGGGGUCCCUAGCGUGCCCUACCACAGGAGGCCAGGGAUCACACCCCUGCCCUGCUUGUGCCUGGGAUGACCUCGGGGCCAGGGGAGCUCGGGCACCACGCCCCAUGGGAAGGCCAGGAAGCUGCUGGUCAGCUACACUGUGGACUCCGUACACAGGAGGGAGGCCCCACGCCCUCCUGUUUGGCCCCAGCACCUCGACUGCCGGUGCCAACAGCCGGGAGCUGAUGCUCAGCUAAGAUUAGUUCCAGAGCACAAGCCAUUCCUGGCAGCAUCACUGUCCAAACCAGGAUCGAUGGGGUAGCGUCACAGCUGGACUCCCAACACCUGUGUCCCGUCUUGGGUCCUCCUGCCUCCCGGAAGCAGGCCUGGCCUCUCUGGGCUGCCCGCAAGGCCGGAACCCCUCCCAGGGAGGCCUAGAGCCAUGGGCUCCAGGACAGCUUUGGGUGGUCUGGGAAGAAUGGCUUCUCCCUCCUGGGUCCUAACCAGAAUGGAGGAAGCUCCGGGGGCAGGGGAGGGGGCAGCGGGCAGCUAGUCCAGCCUGAGGGUGGGCUCUCCAGUGUCUGGUCAUCGCUAAACCCUGCUCCGGGCUUCCUUCUGGCCCCGAGCUGUAUCAGGGCUCACGGGCUAGACACAGCUGGACCCUGGUUGUGGUGCAGUGGCUUGUAGCUCCUGCUGGAGGCCAGGGCGGGAGCUCCUCCCCGUGUGAGAGCUGAGCUGUCCCCCACUGCUGGCCCCCAUGUGUCCCAGGCCCCGGUUCACACAGUGUAAACACUGAAGCCCUGUUUCCUCAGUGAGCUCGAUAGCCCCCAGACUGGACAGAGUGUUUCCAGAAGAAAGCUCCAGAACCACAGAGCGGUAAGGGUGNGGGGGGGGGUGCGUGGAUAGUGCCCCUCUGUGGAGAGCAGGAGUGGUGCACAGACAGAGCGCACGGGGCGGGGGGUGGGGAGCCGCUGCAGCCUUGCACCCCAAAGUGCAUGUCUGAGGGAGGCAUGUGCCACGGCCCCGCACGCAGACGCCCCUGCUGGGAGGCACACUCACCGUUUUCCCGGUGCUGGAAGGAAGGCGAGAACUCUUUGGCAGUGAUCCUGGCGAUGCGUGCCUCCUCCUGGGCCUUCUGUGCUGCGGUGAGGGCGGCCUCAGCCUUGGCCCGGGAGUGGGAGGUCCUGGCAGGGGGAGGCAGGGAGGGCGGUCAGGGCUCUAGAAGCAAGGUGGACGGCCAAUGGCUUCCGGACCCCGUGCAUUCAUUCAUCCAGCCAACAAACCACGCCCCAAAGAGCGGGCCUCAGUGCUUGCCCGUGCCUCCGGGCCCAGGGCGCACCCCAGCGAGGGCAGGACCUGGCCUAGGACGGAUGUCUGCGCCCACAGGAGGGCUCAGCCCGGUCCAGCAGCAGGUCCUGCUGAAGGAGCCUCCGUCCUGCCUGGUGUCGUGUCCGCACGCUAGAGGACAAAACGCACAGCCAGCUCAUCUCUGAGCCUUCAGACACAAGCAGGAGCCUGGUCCAUGCCGGCCUGCCCAGGCAGGGAGUUGGGGUACCCAGCCACACCUGUGGGGUGAGCAACGGGCUGGCCCGGCUCUGGAGCGGGAACGGGGCAGGCUCUCAGAAGGUCCAAGGGCGUAAGGAACAAAACGCACCUUCCCUGGGAGCAGGCUUGACUCCAGGCCCAGGGUGGCCAGCGGCUGCCAGGGCUGAACCCCGUGUCGGAGCCGGACCUGCCUCCCAGGCCAGCGCCAGCCCAGCAGCCACCGGGGCAGCCUCCGAACGCCUCUGCCCCAUGGCACCUGUGGGGCUCCGGGAAAGGAAGCUGGGGUGCACAGGGGCUGACCUGCGGCUGGCCUGUGGCCACCCGACCCUCUUGGCUAUCCCGUCACUCCCCUGCAGACGUGUGCAGGGGACCAGCACAGAGCUUGAGAGAUUUCUCCAAGUCAGCAUGAAACGUGGUCUCCAGACGCUGAGAGAAGUCACGUCCGCGUACCACGGGCUCUGUCCAGGGAGGACGCCCAGCUCCCCUCGGCUCCUAACUGGGGGUGACUGCCACGUGGAGCACAGGCAUGGCCCUGCCCUGUAGGACCUGUGUGGCCUGGGGAGGUGCUUCUCUGGGACUCAGUUUACCCCCUUGGUCCCACGGACUCUGGCAGCACCGCCCUCGUGUGUGGGGCCUAACAUUCCUAAGCUCAGGCCUGACAUGGGAGACUCUUACACACACACACACACACACACUCCCGACAGCCCCACCCCGAGAAUGCCACACCCCAGCGAGGACGCUGCCUUGCACCUGCCCGCAGGACGACCCCGUGGUGUCUCCAUGCGGAAGCCCACACGAGACCCACCUCCUAUGCUGACGGGGUGCCCGAGGCAGGAUGAGCCCGGGGGUCUGUGCCCCUCCCCAGCCUGGUGUCCUGGCUCCAGGGCACUGCAUCCCAACCCUGGAGACACCAAUAAGCUGUGGCUCGUCCCUGAGAGGGGCAGCCUGUCACCAAUGACAGAUCACUUGAUAAAUGGUCAGUGCUUCCUGAGGACCCCUCCCCGCGGGGCUGCUGGAGCCCUGGAGGAGCCACUUCCGCCCCACCCUGCCCAGCCUCCAGGCUGCAGCCCCGCCCCUGACACUCUGCUCCACGUGCUCUGCACCGCGUCCUGCCCCAGCCUCACCACAGCCUUCACCAGACCGUGGUGCCCUGCAGCUAAGACACGCGUCCUGAACACAGUGGACAGACGAGGCCCAGCUGGACGGCCUGGCCCCAGGGAGGGGUGCUCUUGACGACGGUGCAUUCUUGACAUGCACCCAGACCAGCACAGCGGCUGAGCUUGGCUCUGGGGAAAUGAUACAGACUUCCCCAGAAUGUUCCAUGAGUUGGUUUGGUUUGCCCUAAUGACUGUUACCAAGCUGUGGUGCACGUGCCAUAGAGUUCACCCAUUUAAGGUCUACAAUGCAGUGGUUUUUGGGGUCUUCAUGGCAUGCACUCACACUGCACCCCUUUAAGAAUGCCUUCAGCACCCCAAGACCCCACGCCCUUUAUCCCCAGUGACCCCCUCGCCCGGCCCCUCCCCACAGCCCUCUCCGUCAGGGGGUCUGCUCUGACUCUCCUGCCCAGCUGGUUCUCUUGUGACUCACGUUUUUAACUGCAGCUCAUCUAACGAAUUAAAAGGGUACCGUUGGGGCACCAAGCACAUUCACCAGACUGUGCAGGAAGUAUUUCCGUCUGGUUCCAGGAUGUUUCCAUCCCCCAGAAGGAAGCCCGUCCCCAUGAGCAGUCCCUCCCCACUCCCACCUUGCCCCCGCUUGGGGGCUUCUCCUUGACCAUUUGGCGUUGACAAAGCACCCGCCAUGGUCACGGGGCCCGACUGCACAUGGCUGUUGCGUGCAACACUGGUGCCCCUACAUCCGGGGAUCUGAGCGGGCGAUGCGUGUGUCUGCCGGGGAUCUGAGCAGGCAAUGACCACCCUAGCCUCUUGGACACCUCCGUGCACUGUGUCUGGGAAGGGCCCGUUCCAGGCGCACAGUGCGCUCCUGUCCAUGCUGGUGCGGGCUGCAGACCCAGCCAUGGAGGUCAGGUGAGGGAACACAGGGGCUCCCAAGCCCGGUGGGAGGCACCGCGAGGUCGAGAAAUGCCCGCAGACAGACGCCCAGGCCUCUUGGUGUGAGCAGUCCCGCGGGCCAUCACAGCACUCACAGGGCCCGCACCCCAGUGCCUUCCAGUAAGCAGCUGCCCUGUGGACUUGUUCGCGAGCAGACCAGACGGAGAGCAGCGGAGCUGAGCAGGGGCACACACGCUGUGCCGGAGGCCUUGAGCUCUCUGGAGGCCAGGCCCAGCAGGGGAACGUCAUGGGUGCCAUUCAGGGGCACACGUCCGACACAAACCUGGGGCUCAGGAGAGGGACGGCCAGGCUCUGGACCUGGAAGAACCUUGUCAGCCUCACAGGGGCCUCAGGCUUCCCGGGAAGACCCUCGAUGCUGUCUGCUGGGGUCACGCAAACAGCGUUGCCAACCAGGUGAAUGUGGGUGGACAUGGAGCCCAAACAGCUCUGGACCAAGAGACAGGACAGCUCACCCCCCAAGAUGGGUGGCAGAGCGUGGCCACUGGAGGAAAUGCCGCGGGGUAAUGGGCACCUACAGACGGCCGGUGAGGAGGAGUGCUGAGAGCUUUCGGGGCCACAGCCAAGUGCGCACGCGCUGUUGGACGAGGUUGCUCACGGGUCGGAGGUCAGAAGAGCAGUGAGACAUUGUGUCGGUGGAAGAAAGCAGCGAUCUUGAGGGCUCCUCAUUCGGAGGAACGUGCCUGCGCGUGUGUCAUACGAGCGCCCACCUCGCGGGACUGUGCUUCAGUCCAAGUGUCGGGCUAGCAGGGCAUGGUGUGGCAGCAUCUGCACACGUGCCACGACGGCAUGCGUGUCAGCAUGUGGGUGCCACCCCUUCAGGUCCUCCGUCCCCACUGGACACGUGGCUUAGCCACGGCAGCCUCUCCCACGGAGGAGCUCCUCUAACAGCCUCCCUUCUGUUUCUGUCCCAAACCCUGUAAACAAAGUGACCAGGCUCCCCACCCCCACCUUCUCCGGUGACACAGGGCUGCUGCCAGGGAGGGUCCGUGGGACCCCACAUCUUCGGGCAGCGGCUGCACGGCGCUGGUGUGGCCUGGGCCCAGACGGACGGCGAGAGCCUGGUCACUACCAUCACGCUGUCCCGUGGGCUCCCGGCCUCGAGCCUAGAGGCUCUGCUGCUGUCCUGCAGCCCACACAGUGGGCUCCGGCCCCACCGUCCCACAGGGGACCCUCCCGCGCGGGGCACGCUCCCAGAGAGCAGGGUGUGCCCACCCCUGGAGGGGCCGCUGUUUGCUUUCCACAUCUUCGCUUAGUAAAAAUACCACAAACGUUAAUUCAC